rnacentral:rRNA from 1 species
AACGAACGCUGGCGGCAGGCUUAACACAUGCAAGUCGAACGCUCUCUUCGGAGGGAGUGGCAGACGGGUGAGUAACACGUGGGAACCUACCCUAUAGUAAGGAACAACACAGAGAAAUUUGUGCUAAUACCUUAUACGCCCUGAGGGGGAAAGAUUUAUCGCUAUAGGAUGGGCCCGCGUUUGAUUAGCUAGUUGGUGAGGUAAUGGCUCACCAAGGCGACGAUCAAUAGCUGGUCUGAGAGGACGAUCAGCCACACUGGGACUGAGACACGGCCCAGACUCCUACGGGAGGCAGCAGUGGGGAAUAUUGGACAAUGGGGGCAACCCUGAUCCAGCCAUGCCGCGUGUGUGAUGAAGGCCCUAGGGUUGUAAAGCACUUUCAACGGUGAAGAUAAUGACGGUAGCCGUAAAAGAAGCCCCGGCUAACUUCG